rnacentral:lncRNA from 1 species
GUUACGUUCACUUAUUUAUUGAUGUUGUUAGUAUCUGAGCAGGACCAUAGAUAGAGUUAGUAAAAGGUUGAUUAUAGGUUAUUAACAGGUCACCUCUAUGUAUCGUUGGUUAGGGUUAGAAUCAGUAAUAGGUUGAUAAUAGGUUAUUAACAGGUUACCUCUAUGUACCGUUGGUUAGGGUUAGGGUCAGUAAUAGGUUGAUAAUAGGUUAUUAACAGGUUACCUCUAUGUAUCGUUGGUUAGGGUUAGGGUUAGUAAAAGGUUGAUUAUAGGUUAUUAACAGGUUACCUCUAUGUAUCGUUGGUUAGGGUUAGACUCAGUAAUAGGUUGAUAAUAGGUUAUUAACAGGUUACCUCUAUGUACCGUUGGUUAGGGUUAUAGUCAGUAAUAGGUUGAUAAUAGGUUAUUAACAGGUUACCUCUAUGUACCGUUGGUUAGGGUUAGGGUCAGUAAUAGGUUGAUAAUAGGUUAUUAACAGGUUACCUCUAUGUACCGUUGGUUAGGGUUAGGGUUAGUAAUAGGUGGAUAAUAGGUUAUUAACAGGUUACCUCUAUGUACCGUUGGUUAGGGUUAUGGUCAGUAAUAGGUUAUUAACAGGUCACCUCUAUGUAUCGUUGGUUAGGGUUAGGGUUAGUAAUAGGUUGAUAAUAGGUUAUUAACAGGUUACCUCUAUGUACCGUUGGUUAGGGUUAGUAAUAUGUUGAUAAUAGGUUAUUAACAGGUUACCUCUAUGUACCGUUGGUUAGGGUUAGGGUUAGUAAUAGGUUAUUAACAGGUCACCUCUAUGUACCGUUGGUUAGGGUUAGUAAUAGGUGGAUAAUAGGUUAUUAACAGGUUACCUCUAUGUAUCGUUGGUUAGGGUUAGGGUUAGUAAUAGGUUAUUAACAGGUCACCUCUAUGUAUCGUUGGUUAGGGUUAGGGUUAGUAAUAGGUUGAUAAAUGGUUAUUAACAGGUUACCUCUAUGUAUCGUUGGUUAGGGUUAGGGUCAGUAAUAGGUUAUUAACAGGUUACCUCUAUGUACCGUUGGUUAGGGUUAGUAAUAGGUUGAUAAUAGGUUAUUAACAGACGACCUCUAUGUAUCUGUUGCCCAUGUGGUGUUUGUGUCUCUGCAGGGCCAUGUCUCUGUGCUCUUCACUGAUGAAGCGGACCAUAGCCUCUCCGUUCCUCCGACCCUGGGCGUUCAGACACAACGCAGCGCCACCUCUGGACAACACACAGCAUUACAGCUAUUAAAACAAUUUCAAUACACUACACACCAUCAUAACAGCAACGAGUCAAACACAACAGACAACACACCACUAGACACUGAACACACAUACUUGGCAAUGUUGAGUCCUCUGAAGAAGCGAGCGAUGUCCUGGUCAGAUGACUGCCACGGCAACCCCCUCGCUCUGAUCACUGUGUUGUCACACACACGCUCCAUCUUACUGCUACACACACACACACGUGCACACGGACACACACACACACA